ACCCUGGUAGUCUAGUGGUUAAGAUUCAGUGCUCUCACCCCUGUGGCCUGGGUUUGUUUCCCAGUCAGGGAA
rnacentral:tRNA from 1 species